rnacentral:rRNA from 1 species
GUCUCUUUGAACCAAGGGAAUAAAGAGUCUGGCCUGCCCGGUGAUUGAUUUAACGGCUGCAGUAUCCUGACUGUGCAAAGGUAGCAUAGUAACUUGCCUUUUAAUUGGAGGAUGGUAUCAACGGCCCGACGAGAGCAAAGCUGUCUUUUUCAUUUUUACUUGAAAUUAUCUUUUAAGUUAAAAGGCUUAAAUAAAAUUAAAAGACGAUAAGACCCUAUUGAGCUUUAAAGAAAUAAAAGCACUGUUAAGAUUAAUAGUUAAUUUAAAAAUUUUGGUUGGGGCGACCGCGGAGCAUAUAAAACCUCCGUUUUAAAAAAAUAGUUGUUAUUUUUGAUCCAAAAGUUUUUUGAUAAGAAGAAUUAGUUACCAUAGGGAUAACAGCGUACUGCCCUUAGGGAGAUCUAAUUUUUAAGGGAGAUCGCGACCUCGAUGUUGGAUUAAGGUAUACUGAAAGGCGCAGAAGCUUUUUAAGUUAGUCUGUUCGACUAUUAAAUCCUU